rnacentral:lncRNA from 1 species
ACAUUCUUGGAAUUUCCUGACAGGAGUGCCUUUUGUUGCUCAAAGUAAGCCUCUUGGGACCCUACCUGGAUUAAUGCUAACAAAGGGACCCAUUGUCAGUCUUGAGAGCCCUGAGAUAGCUUCACCUGAAAAACUUAUCAUCUCUGGCUGGGGUUGUGGCUCAGCCAUAGAGUACUUGCCUUGCUUGUGCGCCUUGCAUGUGCGAGGCCCUGGGAUCCUCAGCACCGCAUUAAAAAUAAAGGUAUUAUGUCCAACUACAACUAAAAAAUAAAUAUUAAAGGGGGGGGGCUGGGGUUGUGGCUCAGAGGAAAAGUGAUCACCUAGCAUGCAUGAGGCACUGGGUUCGAUCCUCAGCACCACAUAAAAACUAAAUAAAGGUAUUGUGUCCACCUACAACUAAAGAAUAAAUGUUAAAAAAAUAAUAAUAAAAAAACCUAUCAUCUCAGCCAGGGAGGCGAAAGGGGCUGGAGAUUGAGUUUAAUCACAUGGCCAGUGAUUUAAUUUAUCUUGACUCUGUAAUUAAACCUCAGUAGAAACUGAAAAAGGAGGGCUGGGAGUGUGGCUCAGUGGUAGAGUGCUUGCCUAGCAUGUGUGAGGCACUGGGUUCAAUUCUCAGCACCUUGUAAACAAACAAAAUAGAGUUAUUGUGUCCAGUUACAACUAAAAUAAAUAAAUAAAUAAAUAGAAACAAAACUGAAAAAGGAGGCAGGGAAAGCUUCCAGGUUGGGGAAUGUGGGGAUGUGCCAGGAGGGUGGUACACCCUGACUCCCCAGGAAAGAAGCUCCUGGACUCAGGGUCCAUCCAGCCUUUGCUGCCCUCUACCAUGGAGUGAGCUCCAUGGUGCUCCAAGUACUUUCCAUAAUUCUUUCCCCUGAACACCAUGUUUGUUUGUUUUUUUUAAUGUUGGCAUACAAAUAUUUAUUCAC